GAGGCGGGCGGGAGCCCAGACCUCACUUGAACUGAAGGAAGCUAGAGCGAGAAAGGAGGGGCACAGUGCUUCUGCGGGCUCCCACCUGAAGACAGAGACAGAAGCUGGACUGAAUGGAGAAAUGCCUGGCAUGAGUGGUGCCGUGAGUCAGCGCAGAUCCAAGCUCUGUCCCUCUGCCCCUCUGCUCUGCUCUUUGCCAGACCACACAGCCUCCCUCCCCUCCUGCCAAGCGUGGCCAGCGUGCCGUCCAGACACAAUCAAGGCCUGAAAAGACGAUGAGAAUGCAGAUCUGGAAAUUCUGGCUGUAAAAUACCCCACAGAAAGGUGAACGAAGAAGGAACCACAAAUAAAGUCACCGCCACUGAGUGUUUACUGUGUGUUAUGGGUUGAACUGUGCCCACCCCCAAAAACCCAUGUGUUCCAGUCCUAACCCCCAGAGUGUGCCCUUAUUUGGAAAUAAGGUUGGUGCAGACACAAUUAGUUAAGCUGAGGUCAUAAGGAGCAGAGUGGGCCCCUUAUCCAAUACGACUGGUGUCCUCACGAAAAGGGAAAAUUUGAACACAGACACACUCAGGGAGAACACCGUGUGAAGAGUGGAGUCACGCUGCCCCAAACCAAGGACCUACCAGAAGCUCCGAGAGAGGCCUGGAACAGAUCCUUCUCUGGAGCUUUCAGAGGGAGCACAACCCUGACGACACCUGGAUCUUGGACUUCCGGCCUCCAGAACUGUGAGACAACAAAUUCCUGUUGUUUCAGCCUCUCAGUUCAUGGUCCUCUGUUACAGCAGCCCUGGCAAAUGCAUAUGAUAUGUAAUAGGUGCUAUGCUAACUGAUUUACAUCCACUGUCUCAUUUAACCCUCGGGACAACCCAUCAAUAGGUACCAUGGUCCGUUUUAUGGAAGAAUAAAUUAAACGAGAGGAAGGGUAAGUAACUUGUUCAAGGCUGAGCUGCUUCAAUCUAAAAGGACAGUGGUAUUCAAAGCCUCGGGCUCAGGGAAGCCCGCCCCACACCCAACCUACCCUAAUUGGGUAAAUCCCACGGCGUUCUUCACUCAGCCUUUCAAUCCUUG
rnacentral:lncRNA from 1 species